UAAGACGAAGGGAGCAAGCGUUAUUCGGAAUAACUGGGCGUAAAGAGCGUGUAGGCGGUUAAUUAAGUCGAUCGUUAAAUUCCCUGGCUUAACUAGGGAUCAGCUAUUGAUACUGAUUAGCUAGAGGGCAAGAGAGAGAAGUGGAAUUCUCGGAGUAGCGGUAAAAUGCAUAGAUCUCGAGAGGAACACCGGUUGCGAAGGCGGCUUCUUGGCUUGUACCUGACGCUAAAGCGCGAAAGCGUGGGGAGCAAACAGGAUUAGAUACCCUGGUAGUCCACGCUGUAAACGAUGAUCACUGGAUGUGGGUUCUGUUUAACAGGAUCUGUGUCGAAGCUAACGCGUUAAGUGAUCCGCCUGGGAAGUACGGUCGCAAGAUUAAAACUUAAAUGAAUUGACGG
rnacentral:rRNA from 1 species